rnacentral:rRNA from 1 species
GUCGUCAGAGGUGAAAUUCUUGGAUUGCCGGAAGACGAACUAUUGCGAAAGCAUUUGCCAAGGAUGUUUUCAUUGAUCAAGAACGAAGGAAGGGGGAUCGAAAACGAUCAGAUACCGUUGUAGUCUCUUCUGUAAACUAUGCCAAUUGGGGAUUAGCUCAGGAUUUUUAAUGACUGAGUUAGCACCCGAAGAGAAAUCUUUAAAUGAGGUUCGGGGGGGAGUAUGGUCGCAAGGCUGAAACUUAAAGGAAUUGACGGAAGGGCACCACCAGGUGUGGAGCCUGCGGCUUAAUUUGACUCAACACGGGGAAACUCACCAGGUCCAGACACAAUAAGGAUUGACAGAUUGAUAGCUCUUUCUUGAUCUUGUGGUUGGUGGUGCAUGGCCGUUCUUAGUUGGUGGAGUGAUUUGUCUGGUUAAUUCCGAUAACGAACGAGACCUUAACCUGCUAAAUAGACCAGCCGGCUUUGGCUGGCUGCUGUCUUCUUAGAGGGACUAUCAGCGUUUAGCUGAUGGAAGUUUGAGGCAAUAACAGGUCUGUGAUGCCCUUAGAUGUUCUGGGCCGCACGCGCGCUACACUGACAGAGCCAGCGAGUCUACCACCUUGGCCGGAAGGCCUGGGUAAUCUUGUGAAACUCUGUCGUGAUGGGGAUAGAACAUUGCAAUUAUUGUUCUUCAACGAGGAAUACCUAGUAAGCGUGAGUCAUCAGCUCGCGUUGAUUACGUCCCUGCCCUUUGUACACACCGCCCGUCGCUACUACCGAUUGAAUGGCUUAGUGAGGCCUCCAGAUUGGCUAUUGGGAUCUCGCGAGAGAACCUGACUGCUGAAAAGUUGUACGAAC